UAAGCAUAUCAAUAAGCGGAGGAAAAGAAACCAACAGGGAUUGCCUCAGUAACGGCGAGUGAAGCGGCAACAGCUCAAAUUUGAAAUCUGGCUCCCCUGGGGGCCCGAGUUGUAAUUUGUAGAGGAUGCUUCGGCGUGGGCCCCGGUCUAAGUUCCUUGGAACAGGACGUCACAGAGGGUGAGAAUCCCGUACGUGGCCGUGGGUGCUCGCCAUGUGAAGCUCCUUCGACGAGUCGAGUUGUUUGGGAAUGCAGCUCUAAAUGGGAGGUAAAUUUCUUCUAAAGCUAAAUACUGGCCAGAGACCGAUAGCGCACAAGUAGAGUGAUCGAAAGAUGAAAAGCACUUUGGAAAGAGAGUCAAAAAGUACGUGAAAUUGUUGAAAGGGAAGCGCUUGCAACCAGACCUGCCUGCGGUUGCUCAUCCGGGCUCCUGCCCGGUGCACUCUUCCGCAGUCAGGCCAGCAUCAGCUCUGGCGGUCGGAUAAAGGCGGCGGGAAUGUGGCUCCCCUCGGGGAGUGUUAUAGCCCGCCGUGCAAUGCGGCCAGCCGGGACUGAGGUCCGCGCUUCGGCUAGGAUGCUGGCGUAAUGGUUGUAAGCGGCCCGUCUUGAAACACGGACCAAGGAGUCUAACAUCUGUGCGAGUGUUUGGGUGUCAAGCCCAGGCGCGUAAUGAAAGUGAACGGAGGCGGGAACCUUCGGGUGCACCGUCGACCGAUCCUGAUGUCUUCGGAUGGAUUUGAGUAAGAGCAUAGCUGUUGGGACCCGAAAGAUGGUGAACUAUGCCUGAAUAGGGUGAAGCCAGAGGAAACUCUGGUGGAGGCUCGCAGCGGUUCUGACGUGCAAAUCGAUCGUCAAAUUUGGGCAUAGGGGCGAAAGACUAAUCGAAC
rnacentral:rRNA from 1 species